rnacentral:sRNA from 1 species
UUUGUAUAGUGGUUUUAUUUGUGAGAUGUACAUAUCUAUCUUUAUAGGAUUCUUUGGUCAUACUGUUAAAAAAUACAGUUCUUUUGGUGAUCUUGUUCAAGUCUUGGGUACUCCAGGCAAAAAAGGCACCGGUUUGAAUCCUUUGCAGUUUGAUAACCCAGCAGAAUUAUAUGUAGAGGACACAGGAGAUAUUUACAUUGUGGAUGGAGAUGGAGGAUUGAAUAACAGAUUGAUCAAACUGUCCCAAGAUUUCAUGAUCCUUUGGCUGCAUGGAGAAAAUGGGACAGGGCCUGCUAAGUUCAACAUACCUCACAGUGUUACACUUGAUUCAGCUGGUCGGGUAAAAAUACAGUGUCAUUGUGUCUGAGACUUUGUGUCUGAAUAUGUUUGUGUGUGUAUGUGUGUGUGUGUGUGUGUCUGGGCAUGUAUAUAUAGAUUGUGGUAUACAUGUGUGUCUGGGCAUGUGGAUACAUGUUUGUUAGUGGGUAUGUCUGGGUAAUUACUGUGGGCUGGGUGUGCACACAUACUUUCUUACAAGUGUUUGAGUCCUAUAGUGAGGGGGUUCCCCAAACAUUUAGAAAGGAGCAAAAUGGAUUUCCUGUGCCAUUUAAA